UACGUAGGGAGCAAGCGUUGUCCGGAAUUACUGGGCGUAAAGGGUGCGUAGGCGGUUAGCCAAGUCAGAUGUGAAAUCCCCGGGCUUAACUCGGGUGGUGCAUUUGAAACUGGUUGACUUGAGUGCAGGAGAGGAAAGUGGAAUUCCUAGUGUAGCGGUGAAAUGCGUAGAUAUUAGGAGGAACACCAGUGGCGAAGGCGACUUUCUGGACUGUUACUGACACUGAGGCACGAAAGCGUGGGGAGCAAACAGG
rnacentral:rRNA from 1 species